CAGCCGCCGCGGUAGUACGUAGGUCCCGAGCGUUGUCCGGAUUUAUUGGGCGUAAAGCGAGCGCAGGCGGUUAGAUAAGUCUGAAGUUAAAGGCUGUGGCUUAACCAUAGUACGCUUUGGAAACUGUUUAACUUGAGUGCAAGAGGGGAGAGUGGAAUUCCAUGUGUAGCGGUGAAAUGCGUAGAUAUAUGGAGGAACACCGGUGGCGAAAGCGGCUCUCUGGCUUGUAACUGACGCUGAGGCUCGAAAGCGUGGGGCGCAAACAGGAUUAGAUACCCCCGUAGUCCCUGUCUCUUAUACA
rnacentral:rRNA from 1 species